CAGGACUUUAAAUGGAAUGCUAAUUUCCACAAGAAAAUGACAUUUGUAAUUUAAAUACUGGCUUUUCACAUGAGGCUUAUUAGCUGUGUUUUAAUCUGCAUUAGUCUGGUUAAAAUAUCCAAUUUCCCUUUUUCUCCUGUGAGCCUACCAGUCCUUCUUUAGCCAUUAGCAACAGUAAUAGCAAUUAGCAACACCACUUCCAGCACACAGUCAUUUCAAGCUAAGCUGUGUAAGCUUCAUGUUUAAUGAAUCCAAACAUAACUACGAAGGCAUGAAAUAGAAAAUAUAAUAAUCACAGAGGAAUGUCAGCCUCCACAUAAUUGUCCAUAGUAAAUUUUACAUGUCCAGUUCCUGGGCUGUUUCAGCUGUAUUUGGCUUAUAACUGUAAACUAGUGUUAAGCUAGUUAAACUAGUGUUAAAGCUAGUGUUCUGUUUUGUUUUGUGUGCCCUUUUUUAAUCCUGGAAGAAGCUGGGAAUGUACCAGUGGCCUUUGUUCUGACAUAUCAGCAUCCUCUGCUCCUGGUGAUAGUACUCAAAGAGGUCACCUUCAUUGGUUCUUGCAGCAUGAAGUUCCUGCUGUGUGUGUGUAUUGGGUGCAGGUAGCAAAGCAUUGAUAGCAGAGUGCUGGGGUGGCCUCUCUGAGGAAGGAGGCUGGUGUUGCCCCAGACCAGACACAGCCCAUUCCAGUUAGCUCCACAGGACACAGCUGAGCUCGUCAGCCAAACUGGUGGCACCUCUUUGAAAACAUGUUUAAGAAAGGGCAGAAAACUCUAGCAGAGUUUUCUUCAGAGGAAGGAAAGGUAAAGGAUGAGGCAGUGCUCCUUGAUGGAGCAGAUGUUCCUAGAGGUGCUGUAGUCCAUGGAGGAUCUGUGACAGAGCAGAUGAAAAGAAAAGGAAGGACCAGCAGAGAUGAACCACUAAGAAACCAUGAAACAAGCUGGAUUCUGAACCACUGCUUUUCCAAGAUCAAAGAUGCUGUCCAGAACAAUGAGAAGACUUUCUUCCUAGCAGCUGCAGGAACUCAGCAGAAAAGCCUGCCCACUCUGUCCUCUAAGAAUCAAAAUUCUUUCCUCAUGCUGGGAUUGCCUGCACUCAUCAAUCAAUGGAUUGGUAGAGUCCAUGUGCGGUAUAGUUACGUGACACAAUGCUCUCCUUUGUGAUGUGGAACCAUACCCAUCCUGCUAUUUUUUCCACCAUACUUUGCACAUUGUUUAGGAGAGACCUAAAAAUUAGGGAAGGACUGUAGAAUGAACAAAAAGUUGUGUAAUUAUUAAACAGUUCUGACUGACCCAUAGGGAAUAGGCUUGCUUGUUUCAACCAGCUGUAAGUCAGUCAAAGUCAGCAAACACCUGCAUGUAGAAAUUCAAUAGAAUCAGAAGCUGACUUUUCUGAUCUAGGACUUUGCUGCAACUCUUUACCCCUGCCCUCAAAAUAAUGUUUAUAAUCAACUUGCCAUCAGUUAGAUUUCAUGCACUUUUCUUUUUGCACAAGUGAUUUUCUUUCAUUUCCUGAAAGUACUAGAUGCAAAGAUUUGUCCUUUCUAGUACAUCCCAGUACCUCUAGUACCAGUCUCUAAAUUUCCAAAGAGCUGCAGAAGCCAGCACCAAGCAUUAACUGUCAGAGCAGUUGAUCCAGUCCCAGUGUGAGUCAAACUACUGAUCUAAUGAGUCCAUGUCAGAUUUAUAAUGAAAACAAACUUUGAGAUUUUCAGGAUACUUAUCUUCUUUAAAAAAUAUGAUCCACCUUUUUCUCAGUUCCCUCCCUAUAAUACAUGUAGUGAUAGAAAGGAUAUUCAAAUACCAAAGAUAGCUUAAAAGCAGGGAUCAGACUGGAAGUGUCUGUAGUUUAUAUUUUAACGGAUGCCCACUACAAAAAGAAAGCAAAUCACCUCUUCUAUUCACUGGCAGUUUGAUAAGUAGUCUCACUACAAAAUUCAAGGGUUGACCAACCCCCAGGACUCAAGCUAGUCUUCAUUUCUCCCAUUCUGUUCUAUAGUCCUAUUACUCAGGGAUGUCAUUGGUAGGACAAAGUAAUGCAAUUUGAACUGUCAUUUCCCAUGUUUUUGUAAACAAGAAUUAUUUUCCAGCACUAUUGGCAUUGUCUUUAUUUUUUUUUCCUUUAGAUUUUCCUUUUUUUUUAGAAAAUCUGAACUUUGUAUUC
rnacentral:lncRNA from 1 species